UUCCAAAUCGAUAAAAAUCGAUUGCGAU
rnacentral:piRNA from 1 species